rnacentral:rRNA from 1 species
UACGUAGGGUGCGAGCGUUAAUCGGAAUUACUGGGCGUAAAGCGUGCGCAGGCGGCCGCGCAAGUCGAGUGUGAAAUCCCCGAGCUUAACUUGGGAAUUGCGCUCGAAACUACGUGGCUCGAGUGUGGCAGAGGAAGGUGGAAUUCCACGUGUAGCGGUGAAAUGCGUAGAGAUGUGGAGGAACGCCAAUGGCGAAGGCAGGCUUCUGGGCGAACACUGACGCUCAGGCACGAAAGCGUGGGGAGCAAACAGG